GACGAACGCUGGCGGCGUGCUUAACACAUGCAAGUCGUACGGUAAGGCCCUUUCGGGGGUACACGAGUGGCGAACGGUUGCGUAACACGUGAGUAACCUGCCCACUCCUUUGUUAUAACGCUAGUAACCUGGUGCUACUACUGCAUAUGUCCUCCUGCUGCAUGGUGGGGGUUGGAAAGCUCUGGGGGUGGUGGGUGGUCUCGCGGGCUAUCAGCUUGUUGGGGGGGUAGUGGCCUACCAAGGCGGCGACGGGUAGCUGGACAGAGAGUGUGACCGGCGACAUUGGGACUGAGGUACGGCCCAGACGCCGACGGGAGGAAGAAGGGGGGAAGAUUGAACAAGGGGCGCAAGGCGGAUGCAGCAGCGCCGCGGGCGGGAUGACGGCUUUCGGGGUGUAGAACGGUUUCAGCAGGGACGAAGCUUGUUGUGACGGUACCUGAAGAAGAAGCACCGGCUAACUACGUG
rnacentral:rRNA from 1 species